CACUGCUCAGCUGUCUACCUUUCAGAGCCCUUGCUGGCAUCUCAAAAGCUGUUCUGCUGUUGGUCCUCCGGAAUACAGAAAAAACUGGCUGGAGACCCAAAGUGGCUAUUUUGCACCUGCCUGCUGCCUCUCCCUCUCUUCCAGCUGAUGACUCAGAGAGAGAGCUCUCCUUCAGAUUUCUCUCCUGUUCUACCAACAGAAGAUACUCAACUGUUACACUGCAUCCUUUUAUAGGCUUGUCUCCAUGUUCUACCAUUCAGGGUAUGGCUAGGUCUUGUGGAUGCUUUCCUGGAACAUCUGUAAGGCACAUUUGGAAGAUGUAGACUGCUAAGAAACUGCUGAAGAAUCUCAUCUUCACUGGAUGGAGAGGUCUAGAGAUGCCUUGCAGGGACAUCAUCUAUCCAGAAAAUAAUUUUUAAAGUGUUCCCCACAUGAAGAUGCUGAAGAGGAAAAGGUUAGCAGAAAUAUGAUUAUCUUUGUUUUAAACAGUUCAAAAAGCUUCAUAUCUUUCCUUGGAGUAGUGCAUAUUUAACAAAUAGAAUAAGAAUAUUUAGACCUAUAUUAUAUCCUGUAGGCACUCAUAUAGUUGUACAUAGAGAAUUAAAAAAUUGUCUGGAUAAAAAAAUUUAUUGCUUUUCUAAUUCUUUCUCUAUCAUUCUGGGGUUUUUUUCCAUCAGUUUGUUAGGAGAGUGACUUACCUAUUCCUCUUUUUAAUUACUUUUAAUUAUUUCCUUUUCCUGCAAUAAUCCGCCUUUAUCCAUCUAUCUUCCAUUUUGCAUCUUUCCACUCCACUGAAACCAUGCCUUAGAACAACAAGGAGACAUCAGAUCCUUUGAGGAUGUGGUGGAAUAUUGUCUUUUGGUUUGCAUUGUCAUUACAUCUUGGUUCUCUUUUCAUAUUAUUGCAAGAAUAUUAUUAUUGCAGGAGUUUACAGUGAAAAGUUAGGGAAAAUACAUUAAGGCUCCUGUGAACUGUAAUGAAACACCAUUAAAAUGAAUGCUAAAAAUGCAAGGGUGAAUGGAACAGCGAUAAGGAGAAAAAUAGCACCUAAUAGGACCAAUGCACCUAAUGUGUACUUAAAACACUGACUGUAUCUCCCUAGUCAUUGCCCAAGCAAUCUCCUUAGUCAAAGAAGAAAUAGAUCUUAACCACCCACAUGCUCAUCACUUUGACAGCUCAUAAAAACUGAUGUCUUACUCACUGACCUUUUUGGAGACAAGGCUAAAGACUAUAAUGCUAACUUUUUGUCUUUUAGAUGCCUUUGAUAUUCUGCCUUUCUUUAAUCCCUGUGACUUCAAAAUUUAUAUAUAAUUCAAUUAGUUGUAAAUUUUUGUCAUGGGAAAAGUGUGUGUCUGUGUUAUACAGGUUCCCUGAGUGAUGCAACUCAAGUUUUUCUUGAUGCCUCUGUAGAAAUUUGAGUUAAUGUGCUGUGACUACGUGGCUACAAAACCUCUACUUACAGGAGGAAAAAGUCAUACACAUGGAUUUUACUCUCUGCUAGUAGUCUACACAGAAAAAUAGGAGGUCCUACACAGGUUUACAUGAAUUAACUUGUUCUCCACUCCAAAGAUCUGUUCCAGCCUCAGUUAAAUAAAAUAAAAGCAGGAAAGUAUUAUGAAAAACCC
rnacentral:lncRNA from 1 species